rnacentral:rRNA from 1 species
GAUGAACGCUGGCGGCGUGCCUAAUACAUGCAAGUCGAGCGGACGGACGAGAAGCUUGCUUCUCUGAUGUUAGCGGCGGACGGGUGUGUAACACGUGGAUAACCUACCUAUAAGACUGGUAUAACUUCGGGAAACCGGAGCUAAUACCGUAUAAUAUUUUGAACCGCAUGGUUCAAAAGUGAAAGACGGUGUUUCUGUCACUUAUAGAUGGAUCCGGGCUGCAUUAGCUAGUUGGUAAGGUAAUGGCUUACCAAGGCAACGAUGCAUAGCCGAACUGAGAGGGUGAUCGCCCGCACGGGAGCUGGGCCGGCGACAAGGGUACUAAGGGAGGGAGCAGAAGGCAACGGUACGCAGUGGGCGAGAGCAUGACGCAGCAGCGCGGCGUGAGUUGUGAAGGUCUUCGGAUCGUAAAAAUCGGUUAUUGGUGAAGAACCUAUGUGGAAUUAACCGUGCACAUCGUGACGGUACCUGAUAAGAAAGCACCGGCUAACUACGUG